UUCUUCCCCAAUCGUCGUUUUCUCCUCUCCCAUCGCCGAAACCAUUCCGCGCCUUCUUCUUCUCCCGAUCCCUGCCCUAUCCGUUCCCCCUCUUUUCUUCUCCCCUCACCGGUGCCGCCCCAUUUCUUCUUCCCCUCCGUUGCCGAGCCGCGCACCGAUCACCGGCCACAGGAAGUCAGCGCCGACGCCUGUGCCCUAGCGCCCCGUCGACGCCCUCUUCCUCUCCACAGCCGACCGAUUUACUUUAAGCCUCCUUCCCUCUCUUCGCAGACACCCGGAGCCGCCGGAAGUCGAGCAUCUGAACCCUAGGUUGGGUCCCUGUGCGCCGGCUAAAGCUUUCCUUUCCUCGUGUCUCUGAUCGUCAACUACACUCCUCCAGUGGAUCCUUCUCAGCCGAGCCUUACUCUCGAUUAGUUGGAAUUGGCCGAGUAGUGCUUUACACAGGGUCUCCUUGCUGCCACAUUUGAGAGAUCAGCGGCUCUACUGUGGAUCCAAGCAUCACUGGUUGAGGAUGAUCCACAGCUUCGGCCCCAAGUUCCAGCAGCAAGAUCUGUGGUUGUGAGUUGGCAGGAAGAUAUUUAGAUUUAGGUUGUAAGGGGAAUUGCUUAUUAAGGUACUUGUGUGGAGGUUAGCGGCUCUACCUAGCUCCGACCAACAUUUCUAGCAGUAACUUCUCCGGCUGUGAGGACCACCUUCCGGCAGCAACCUUUUCGGCUGUGAAUUGAGUCUUUGUAGCUUGGCCAACACUGUUCACUGGCGAUCUACAACACCGGUUAUUCUGUUUGGGCAGGGAACCCCUUCGACCGUGAGCCAUCAGCGACCAUCCUAGAUUUGGAUGAGUUCUUAUGCAUUGGUUUAGGUUAGGUUGUUGUGAUGGAUUAUGCUUAUUGACUUUGACGCGAGACGAGUAUCUCGACGUUGGAUUUGACUGGAUUGUACCUUCCUAUU